rnacentral:rRNA from 1 species
UGCGCAGUGGACGGCUCGGUUCCCGUGUCGAUGAAGGACGUAGCGAAAUACGAAAGGUGUUGCGAAUUGCAAGAUUUCGUGAGUCAAUGAAUAUCCGAAUGCAUUGUC